rnacentral:rRNA from 1 species
CGCGCAGGCUGUAGAUCAAGUCAGCUGUGAAAUGUCUGGGCUUAACCCGGGCAUGCGGUUGAAACUGAUGUACUGGAGUACUGUAGAGGCAAGUGGAAUUCCCAGUGUAGCGGUGAAAUGCGUAGAUAUUGGGAAGAACACCGGUGGCGAAGGCGACUUGCUGGGCAGCAACUGACGCUGAGGCGCGAAAGCCAGGGGAGCAAACG